AAUCUCAAAGUUGAGGAAAAGAUGAUGGAAGAAAAAUAAAUGAAACCAAGUUUAAUGUCUUCAUAAGAGUGAUCCGAUAGCUGCCAAAUAGACCCAAAACAACUGAAACUACGACUCAGCCACAAAAGCUGGAGGUUGAAGCCGUGUUGACAGCAGAAUCCAAGGCACAACAAUAGUCUUUGAGGUUAUUGUUUUUAAUUUUUUACAUCUUCAUGCAAGAGUAAGAUAACUUUCACUUUUUACCCAAAUGAUCAGAAUUAGCUAAAAUGAAACUGAAGGUAGUACUUGCAGCUUCCGAGAGUCGGCUACCAAUAAGGCACGAAUAGAAAUGACAUUUUGCUCCUCUUCUUUUCGGGAGUUGGUUAUAUUAUAUUAGAUUGUGAGUGGAUGAACUUGAAGCAAGUUGUGAUUUUGGUCUCUUCAUUAAAGAGUUUGAUAAUCGAUGAUUUGCCUUCUUUUACUAAGUGGCUCCACUAAUGAUCUAAAUAGCUGUGAAAUAAAGAUUGAUGCAACAAGCCUUAGUUUCUUUAAGUACAGUGGUUAUCUCUCCAAUGAGCUAUGUGCAACAUCCCGCCUUAAAAAGAAAUAAAGUUAGAAAGAACUAAUUAGGAAAGAGCCAAAUCUGAAAUUUUACAAGUUAUGUUUGAGUUGUGAGUUUUGGGUCAACUUCAAACGACUAUAACUUUUAGUACAAGAUGAGUUAGGUGGCCCAUAAGAUAUCAAAUGAAAGGUCUUUGUAUCCUCUUUUCAACGCCACCGAGUUUGCUAAGUUUUGUGUUCGAAUGAGGGAUAUAUGCCCGUUUGAAGUCAGAAUAUCCAAUGAAGAAAAGUUACCCGAAAAUGUGAGGGGUGUUUUAGUCUUUUCCUUACCGAAUCAGAUUAAAACAUUUUUAGUAAUAUUAUGAGGUCAAAUCUGAUUUGGUUCAGUUUUACAAAUCAUAAACUACGUUUAAGGUUUUAGAAGAGAGUUCAAGAAGAGGAAAAGAGGAGAAAAGGAAGAACGAACAAGGUUUCACAAAUCGAGGAUUUGUUUCACCAAAUCGAGUGUAAGUUUUCAUAGUGUUGGGUUCGUUCACCCACAUGCCAAUCAUGAUUUACAUAUUCGAAUUCAUCCAUAAAGAUUGAAAGAUUUAAGUUCUUGAUGUGUAUUCUUGAAGUACUGCUUUCGUUCUUGAAUUAUGAUGGGUUUGGUGAGUUCUUGAGAUAAAUGUAUUGAGUUUGAGAGUUGUUUUUGAGUAGAUUCUCGUGUACUUGUAUUGGGUAAUUGAAUCUAAGAAAUAUUUGAGAAAAGAAGUCGAUUCUAGACGAUUUAGGGUCAGAAAAUGAGAAAAAAAUUCAUCGGAUUGUUCUGGGGGAGGGCUGGGGCUGUGCGCCCCAGCAGUGCACCAGAAAGCAGCCUCUGAAGUUCAGGGGCUGGUGCCCCGCGCCAGUAGUGCGCCAGUGUCGCCUGCCCCCACCCUUUUCUGGCGCACUGCCCCCACCCUUUUUUCCAUCGUUUGUUGCGUCUAAGUCCUUUUAAAGUGUACCUUUACUUCCUAUUUAUUCUAACUACUCUAAACUACAUCUAAACAUCGAGAUAUCAUUCAUAACAUGAAUCAUAACCUUAAAUUCAUAAUUCAAAUUCAAGGUAGAGUUAAGAGUUAAGUCUUGAGAGUUAAGUCUUGAGAGUUCUUUCAAGUCAUUUUGAGAAGUCUUUUACAAUCUUUUAAAACUUGUUUUAAGACUUGAGUACGAGGAUGAGGAGAGUAGAGAUCGUUUUAAAAAAAAUGAUAUAUGGAAACUAAGUAUCCCAAGAGUAAAUGCUUUUAUAUUUAAGAAGAGAGAAAACACUGAUUUCCAAAAUAGUUCAUCUGGAGUUUUGAGUACUAUCUCUUUUAAGAGAAAUAUUUUGAGUAAUAAUCUCAAAGUUGAGGAUGAGGAAAUGUCUUUAAAAAAAUAUAUGAGCUAAGUUAUAUUUUGGGAAUAUUAUUUAGCACCGAUAUGGGGGAGAGUUCAAACAACUCACAACCCUUAUAAACAAUGUAGCCAACGUGGGUAGGAAGUGUCAUACUUUUUAGAUGAUUCAUUAUUGCUUUUUAAGCAUAGCUUAGUGGAUCCACUUAGUUGAGGAGUUAUAUACCCCGACAAGGUAUAUGACAGUUCUGGCAGCGUGGGCGAGACGUUGUAUCAUCACAUAACUCAUAGUGAUGGUUGUCAGUUAGAGAAUCUCCCAAAUAGAGUUUAUUUUAUAUUUUUACAUACAAAAUGAGUUAUAUUGUAUUUUCCAAUACAUUGAGUUAUUAUCUAUAAACAAUGUAGCCAACGUGGGUAGGAAGUGUCAUACUUUUUAGAUGAUUCAUUAUUGCUUUUUAAGCAUAGCUUAGUGGAUCCACUUAGUUGAGGAGUUAUAUACCCCGACAAGGUAUAUGACAGUUCUGGCAGCGUGGGCGAGACGUUGUAUCAUCACAUAACUCAUAGUGAUGGUUGUCAGUUAGAGAAUCUCCCAAAUAGAGUUUAUUUUAUAUUUUUACAUACAAAAUGAGUUAUAUUGUAUUUUCCAAUACAUUGAGUUAUUAUCUACUAUUUUAAAAGUUUUUCUUCAUAUCGCAUUAUUGUUACUGCUUUUAUAUUGAAAUGAGUUGAGAUUGAGUUGAGGUUGAGUUGAGACGAGGUAAGUUGUUUCUUCAGUUUCAGUUCAAGCUUUUGUCAUGUUUUAGAUUUCCCCUUGCAUGCUCGUACAUUUCAUGUGUUGACGCCAUUUAGCCUGCAUCUUUCAUGAUGCAGAUAUAGGUAACCAGGAUCAUCAACCAGCGCUUCGUUGAUCCAGUUGAGUUCCAGAGUUGUUUGAGUUCUAGAGUUGUUUGGUGAGCUUCUUUGCUUCUGGAGGAUCCCUUAUUUAUCUUCAGUUAUUUCAGUUUUUUAGGAUGAUCGGGGGUCUUGUCCGGAAAUCCCUCAUAGUAUUAGAGGCUUCAUAUAUAGAUAGACAGUAGUUCACGAGUCUUUUCAUUUUCAGUUGUUAAUGUUUUAGACUUGAGUUGCCUCUUUUGACCAGUGAAUGUUUUAUUUCUAAAAUAUUUUGAGUUUACUUUUGAGACAGUUAAGUAAAGUUUAUCUGUUGAGUUUGUUUUAUGUUGAGUAAGUCUUUCGCUGAGAGUUGAGCCAAGCCAAGGGUUCGCUUGAGCCCAUCAAUGGUUCUCGAGUGUCGACCACGUCCAGAGUGUAUGCUCAGGGCGUGAAAAUAUGUUUGUAUAAUCUAUCCCCCUCAGCCAAUGCAUCAAUUCACAUUCCCAUUUUGUAUAAGAAGCAAAACCAAAUUGAUUUUCGUGUUGUUAAGCUCUUUAUAUGGUUACACAAGAUUAGUGCUGCAAUAAUAUCUAGCAGGGCUAUUGAAAUAAUUACUAACAAGAUGGAAAUUAGCUACAGAACAUCACAAUAUAGAAUGUUAAAUGUCUAAAUAUGCAGUAUUGAUAUCUUUUCUUCUUUUCCUUUUCUGUGAUCCCACUUGUUGCUUGACAAAAACAUCUCUAAGACAGGAGAAAUUGUUUGUCGCUUAUUCAAUGUACAUAAUAGAAUAAAUUUGUAUCGACACUUUAAUUAAUCAAAUCAUUCUUUACCGAGCUCAAUAAAAAUAGAUAAAACUAAUGCACGGUUCGACAGACAUACAUGUAGCUGAAAUUCUGAUACAGAUAGCUGCAAAUCCUUAACUUCACACUGCAAGGGAAAAUAAAUUCAAACGUCAGUGCAGUGAGGCAAAAAAACUCUAAGCUAAACCUACAACAGCGGAAGACGAAAAUUGACAACCCCACAAAGUUAAUUAACUCGGAAUCAAAUCUUUAAUAAAUUUUUCUUCCAUUUAAUUACAUCAAAAACUCAUAUGAACAAACAAAAGACCAAAGUAAUUAUUGCAUGUGGCAAAAAAGCUUUGAAUAAAACCAAAGUAAUUAUUGUGUGUGGCAAAAAAAGCUUUGAAAUGGAAAAUGUGCGAAUGACAAGAUGAAACAACAAAAAUCGAAGCUUCAAUUCAUUAUGGUCUCCUAAGAAAAAGCAAACUUGAACAUUAACAACAAAUUCAAAUAAUUAUUAAAAAAAAAAUGAAUACGCCGAGAUCAAAGUUCAUCAACAAAAGAUAAAAAGCUUGUAACUUGAUUUUAUAUUCAACCAAAAAAUGGAGAUUCAGAACAAAACAACAGCAAAAAUAAAUCGUGACAAUAUGAGUUAGGAUUUCAACUAAAAGGAAAAUCUGAAAUGAGGGAAAAAGCAGAGAAUAACGAUUAUAGCUACAAGAAGGAAUAAACCGUCACCAUAGUUUUGGGGAAAAAUCAAAAUAUUAGUACAAAUCAAAGAAACAAUUUGAAUCAGCCUUACCUGAGAUGAAUGGGAGAAACAAAAGGAGAUUUUAGCGACCAAAGCAGAGAGUGGUGAAGGGAGAAAGUUGAAAGAUGAAGCUAAUGAUGUGUCCAUUGAAGAUACCUCUGGAAGACACGUAAACUAUAAUGAUGCACUCAAAAGACCAAAAUACCUUAAAAUUUAAAUUAAAAGACAUGAAGCAUACUUGUUCAAACAAGUCUUUUCUAAAGUAGUAGUUGAACCAAAAAAAUAAAAUAAUAUAUCUUUCACUAUCAAACUAUGCAUACAUGCCAACCAUUUUAUUUUAGUUGUGCUUGGGAAAUGCUCCAACAUAAUUAUUAAUGUAUUUUUUUAAUAGUAACAAUUCAUCUAAUGCGAUGCUGUAAUGAUGCAUAUUUCUUGUAAUUACGCUUAUUUAUAUGUGUUUUAUCUAAUAAACUUUCCCAUCUUUAUAUAUAUAAGAGAAAAUGUUCAAAAUAUAUUUGAAAUUUGACCGAAAUUGCUGUAAUGAUUCUAAACUUUGGGCAAACCCUAUUACCCCUGCACUAGUUAAUAAUGUAUUUUAAGGAUAUAUAUGACAUAUGGACAUCAUAAAUAUUACAUCAUUAUAAAUAGUAACUUGUCCAACUAGACAAUUAAAUAUCUUUUGAAAUACACUAUUAAAUAGUACAAGGGGUAAUAGGUCUUGUCCAAAGUUUGGGAUUAUUACAUCAAUUUUGGUCAAAGAUUUGAUAUAAUUCAGACCUUUUUCCCAGUAGAAUAAUAAAGUCUGACAUACACCUCUGUUUGGCCAGGAUUGCCAUUUAUCUAUUAUGUCAUUUUUUUUGGAUUUUCCCUUAAUUUGUUCUUCAUAAAAAAUCAGAAAAAUAGAUACAUUUAAUUUUCCUCUUUCCUCAUUAUUACUACACUAUUUAUAUCUUUCUAAGAUUCUUAUUUUUCCUUCUUUAUUUUCCGUAUUUUUUUUCAAAAUAAUUGUGCUUUUAAAAAUUUCAAAAAAUAAGCUACACUAACAUUUACAAAUAUAAUUGUAAUUAAAAUAUUACAAAUGUAUUUUUUUUUUAUAUAUACAAAAGUAAAUAGUAUCAAAUAUAGGCAAAGUUAUAUUUAUCUCUUGUUUCUCCUUUUUUCAUUUUGUAUUCUAAUUUUUCAGAAUUAAUUUAUUUAAAAUUAUCAUCUUUAUAACUCAAACCUCUAUAUAUUUAUAAAUGGUACUCUUAACUAUAUUAGUAAAAUAUUCAUAACUAUCUAAUCUUCCUGUAACACCCCGGAACCAAAAGAGGGUAAAUAACACUUUUAAGGAGAUGUAGCUGCCAACCCAUGAGGGCCACCCACGACCCGUGGAUGGGACCAUGGACCGUAGGUGUGGUCCGUGGAUGGCUCUCCAAAACAGAUCUUGAAGGCCCAGAACCACGGCCUGACCAACGGACCGUCGGUCAGGCCACGGUUCGUGGUUGGAGUCCCGUGGUUCGAUGGCCAAAAGUCACUUUCUAACAACCAUCGACAGCCGUGCAGGGUGAACUGUCGGUCAGUCCACGGUCCAUCGAUUGGUGGCCGUAGGUCAUGAUAUGACAGUUAUUGUUAGGGGAAGUUGGGUCUUUUCCUAAUUAUUUUAUUCUUAUACUAUGUCGUUUUACCCUUCACUAAGACCCCUAUAUAAGUGAAUUCAACCCCCAAAUUAGUUCAUUCACUUCAUUCUCUCCAAAUUCACCAAAAAAGAAGAACUCUCUAAUAUUUCUCUCUCUAGAAAGCUUGAAGAAGAAGGAUUCAACCUAGGGUUUUAAGUCAAGUAUCAAUUCCUCCAUUGAAGAUUAGCAAUUGACUUCAAGGUAUGAUAGUUUUCAUCCAUGGAUUCCUUCCAUUCAUGGAGUUCCCAAAUUCCUUUAUUUUCAAAGAUAGAAAUCCCCAAUUGAGUUAAUGUUUUCUUCAAUUGUUAUGGGUUCUCUUGAUUAUUGAUUUAAAUAAUUGAAUUAUGAUCUCUUAUGCAUGAAUUGAUGAAAUACUAUGAUUUUAUGAUGAUUUCCCCUUGAGACCAAGUAAUCUCCAUGUUUUUCAAGUAAUGUUCAUAUGAAGUGGGAUUUUGAUUAUGAAGGAAGAGUUUUAUGAAACUAAGCAUGUAUUCAUAGAAUUACAUGAAUUUAUGAUGAAAUUCAUAUCUAACCCAUGUUUUAAAAAUUUUGAUGAUUGAAAGUGGGUUUUGAACCUUUAAAGGUAAAUUAUGGAAUUAUGCAUGUUCUUAUGAAAUCUAUGCAAAUGUUUUAAGGGUGUUUUGAGAGUAAAGUAUCAAUGAUGAUGUGAAAGGUUUUAUCACAUAAUGAAGGGUUCUAAGGUUAAAAGGUCUUUUCACCUAAUUGAGUCAAAGAUUAAGAGCUAUCCUAAUGAACCUAGAUUGGAUUGAUAAUUGAAAGAUACCUUCUCAUGGAUGAUGACUUAGCUUGAAUUGGCAAGAUGACGUGCCCUUCCAUGGAUAAUAAGAACAAGUAAGAAAUGACCCGUAGGAUUUAUGCUUAGCACCGAGAGGAUAUUGAGAUGGAAUCUCUCCCGUUAGGAGAGGCCGGGUUUCUAGUAGCAAUCUUCUUAUCCCUUACCUAUGUGCCCCCAUAGGAUGAUUGUCUAGUUAGACAUUAGAUAGUGGAUCCACUUUAGCUCAGAUUUAUAGUCCUUACCUUGGCAAGUAGGACAACCCUUUUCGGUGUGGGAGACACCAAGGAUCAUUUUAUAGCUCACAUGUUCUCUAUGUCGGUUAAGAAUAAUCCCCAUAUUAAUAAUGAACUAAGGUUACUUCAAGAAGUAUCUCAUAUGUGUUCAAAUGUUUCAAAGGAUGUUAUAUUACAUUGAACAUGUUUUAUGACUUAUGUUUUCUAACUCUUUUAUAUCAUGUUUUAGCUUGGUCAAUUGCAUGUUAUGAAAUAUCCCUUUUAGCAUGAUUUAAAUGUUUUAUGCAUAGCUAUCAUAUUUGGUACAUUAUUUUGUACUAACACAUACUCUUGCCUACAUUUCCCCAAAUGUAGGGUCUGACAGCCAGGUUUCUCAAAUUCAUGGCUAGGGGUUGAUUUCGAGGUUCUCGAGCUUUGGUGAGUCCUCAUGCUUCGAGGACAGAUUUUCAUUAUUCAGUUUUCUUUAUUAUUUUCAGUUUGGACAUGAUGUAUGGGCUAGGCCCAAUUUCAUUCGAUUGUAUUAGAUGGCUACUGAGACAAAUGUUUUAAACUUACACUUUUCUUUUAUAAAAACCUAUUGGACUUGGACCAUUGUUUUA
rnacentral:lncRNA from 1 species